rnacentral:rRNA from 1 species
AUGGAGGCUCCAUUAGACAAGAAAAGAGGUGUUGGAAGGCCUAGAAGGAACAUGUACAAGAGCUUCCUCGAAGGUGGAGAUGGUGGUCCUAAAAAGAAGAAAGAGCCAAAACAGCUAGGCAGCAAGAAUAGAUGCAAAAGAUGCCACAUUUUAGGCCACAGGCAGUCCACGUGUCCGUUGAAUGGGCCAAAGCCAAAGAAAAGAAAGAAGAUACCACCAAGAUAUCCAGCUGAUGAUGAUGCCUCGGCACCGGAACCUGAAGUUGCAGCCCAACAACCUGAAGUUGUCACUCCCAGUAGGCACAUGAUCACUAUACCACAAAGUCUUCAAGGCAGUCCCAAUCCAGUGACAAGAAGCAUGUUGGCUUCGGCGUUGGCUGAUGAGGCAACACAUACUACACCACAACUUGAUGUGGCCGUCACUCCAACAAGGUACAUGGUCACUAUGCCACAGAGUCUGCAAGGAAGUCCCAAUCCAGUGACAAGAAGGAUGUUGGCUCUGGCAUUGGUUGAUGAGGCGUCGCAGAAACCUACCCCUACCAUGGAGGACACCAUGAUAGCAUACGACAUGGCCUCAAACUCAAAAGCUAGAAAGUUGACCCCGAAGAGAAGGAAGUACUAG